rnacentral:lncRNA from 1 species
UCUAUGCCUCUGAAUAUAGAAAAAACACCAACCUUUUCCAUCUCCUUCAUCAGCAUAAACUGGUUCGCUUGAAAACAGUCACACCUGACUUAUGAUACACCACUCGUGAAACCAAAUAUGGCUAGUACUACAUUACAGUAUGCGGUUUCCAAUUUGGACUGCAAACGAAGUAUUAUAGCUCACAUUUUGGCCUUAUUUUAUUAUUCCCCCCCCCCCCCCCCCCCCCCCCCCCCCAAAAUGUUAAUAUUGUAAAAUUUGGUUGAGAAUUUAAUACUGUAAAAAAUUAAUUGAUUCAGAUAUACAUCAAUAAUUGAUGAAUAUUAAAAUUUAUAGACAAAUACUGAAUAGAUAUCGAGUAUUUUGAUAUAAACAUGAAUUUUUACAAUAGUGAUUUCACAACGGCAUCUAUAAAAUGAACGUUUGAAUCAUCAAAAAUAUUGACCCAAAAUACUCAAAAUAGGAAAACACAAAGGAGGUGUGUACUUGUUUUUAGCCAAGAAAAAGUUGGAAAGAAGCACAGACAAAAUUCAUAAUAGUUUGGUUCAGAAUCAAUUUUGCAGGAUUUUUGAGAAAUUAUGUAUUGUUUGUGUAAAUGAUUUUUGAGAAUUUUAAGAUAUUUUUAUUAAUAUAUUUUUUCAAAAUGAGUUCGUUUUUGAAAAAAAGUUUUAAAACGUUUUGAAAAUUAUCAAACAAAAAAUUUUUAAAAAAUUAUUAUGGAUAUUUUUCUAUUCAAUAGGGGGAAAGGAAACCAUAUUUAAGACUCAGGAUAAAGAGUAGGAGGGCUUACUAUGUCGAAUUUGUGCAGUUAUAGAGAAAAAUCAUAAAACAAAUUAUUCUAAUGGUUUAAGAAAAUUUUAAACCAAAUCGAACAGUUAGAUUAGUGCAACUACAUUUUUACGUUUUAGUGGUGGUAAUAACAAGCCAAAGUUUAGAACCAUAAUCAUGACCUCAAAAUUCUAAACUGAACCUUUAGUCGCAGUUUUAAAUUUUGUAACCGUAACCAAAUUAAUAAAAAAACAAACCAGACUACAUGGAUUGAUUUGGUCUGGCGGUUCUAUAUUUCAAACGUUUUUUUUCUACUUGCCCCCUAGAAGAAAAUCCCUAGGGCAAAUCUUGAUUUUAUGAAAAGAUUAAAAAAAAAUGAACUUUUAGAAACUUUUCCCAGUUCUGAACUUUUGAUUUUAGACCCAAAUUUUGAUUUUUAAAUAUGAAAAACAAUCUCUAAAAAAAGAGAAGCUAAUUUUUCUCCUUAAUAGCUCAUUUUUUUGCGAAAUUGUUCAGGUUCUUUUAUUGUAGAUUAAACACAAAGUUAAAUUUUUUAUCAAAAAAUUAAAUCUAUAAAACCGAAAUAUUCCAAAAAUGUUCCAUUGUAUGAGGAGCAAAAUUUCCAACCUUAUUAUUGUAUAGUGCAUGUUGACAAAAGCUCUCAUAAACCACAAAUAAUAUUUCAACCAAUAUAACUGUACAAGAAAAAAAAAGUACAACGUAAAUAUUAUCUUUCUUACAAUACAUACAUAUAAAUAAUUUUUUCCAAUUUCAUAUUUACUAUGCAAAAAUUAAUCGAAGGCUAGCAAUGUGAAAUGCUAAAAUGUAGUAAGAGCCAUCUCAAAUUGCAAAGCAAAAUCUUUUAUGGACUAGGCGUCUCACCUUAAUUUUCUACUGGUCUUCCAAAACUCUAGUCAAAUUUAGCAUAAGUUUUGCAAAGCUAAAUGAAGAUAGGAACUUGGUCGGUGAUGGCAUGAGGAUAGCAAUAGGGAGGAGAGGAUUGGGUUUUGAGUCACGGGUUUGUUUUGAGUUGGUGGUGGUACAAUAUUGAUUACUGUCCUAGGGAUUAUGACAAAAUUUUUUUUUAUAAAAUUUAAAAUGAAUAGUUUAGAUUCUUUUGAUUAUGAAAAAUUCACAUGCUUAAGCCUUAAGUAAAUCUGAAUAAUUUAUUUUGAAUUCUAAAAACUUUCUUGGUCUAUAUUCUGAGACAAUAAGAUUUCCCGUGUAUGGUGGUCAUGUAGCAUAGACACGAUGCCCACCGCCAUGUGUAGGGAUAUAAUUUUUAUACUCCAUUUUUGACCAAAUGCAUUAUAUUUUUUAUUUUUAUUAUACAAAAUUUAAAUAAAUACCUAAACUAAUCCUCACACGAUAUGAAGGAAGUAAAAGUCGAAGGUUAUGAGGAGAGGCAAUUUUGGUACUCCUUCUGUUCAUUUUUAUUUGUCUAUUUUUAGGAAUCCAGCUUUUUAAUAAAAAAUUAAACUUUUAAAUUUACUCUUCAAUAUAUAUUAAUUUCCAUAUGUGGAGUUGAUCUUCCUAUGUACGACUCUUCAUUUCUUAAU